ncrna:unclassified sequences DTF805b RNA
AGGGAGGAAGCCGAAAAUCCUUCAAAGAGUAGGCA